GGGGGAGACGUGGGAGGUGCCCGGGGCCGGGGAGGGAGGCGAGGGGGGUUGGUGGCGCCGGAGCCGGGGGAGGGGAGGUGGUUUGGUGGUCGCGUAGAGCCGGAUGCAGCGCGGACGGUGGGUGCGGCGCAGACGAUGGUGGGGUGGGGUCGCGGCGGGGAUGGGAGGAAGGGAAGGGAAGGGGGGAAGGGAAGGGAAGGGGAAAGGAAGGGGAGGCGGCGGGAGGAAGGGAAGGGAAGGGGGAAGGAAAAAAAAAGCCGCCGCCGCCGCCGCCCGUCAGUCUCCGUCGGUGCCUUCCUCCCCAUCUUCAUCGGCGUCGAGCCCCAUAGAUCUCCGAAAAAAGAAGAUGCCGAUCUCAUCUCUGCUCUCCUCGCCGCCACCUCCCGCCGGUCUCCGCCGUCGCCUCCCUCCCCCUCUGAUCUCCUCAGUGCUUUGAGACCGCGAGCUGAGCAGAGGUAUAAAGAUGGGUUAUUGCGCUUCGGUUCAGAAGAAUCCGGACUCCGCCAUGGGAUUUCGACUGGGUUUAGGCUCCCAGGCCAAGAGAUUCUUCAUUCCCUCCCCUGCCAAAGAGAAGCCUUUGAAUGGUCAGAUCUCAGUUGGUGGAUUCGAUUUCAAGGGCAAGGUGGUGGACUCGGGAGCAGGUCUUAGGAGCCCGGAGUUUGUUUGCUCGAGAAGAAAUUCAGAGAAUUGAGACAUGAAAAAUCUUGAUAUUACUAGAUACUGCUUUGAUGGACCUUGCAUCAAUUUCUUCAUAUUCAAGGAGUAUUUGCAGCAUCAAACAUUUGUUUCUCUGCAAGCGUCAGAGCACUGUAAAAUUCCUGUGAACCAUAAAAUUCUUGUGAUUGGUUCCUCAGAGCGGUUACCCAAGUUUCUAUGGACCAGCAAUCGUCACUGAUGAGAGAAUGAAUCCAAUGCCCAACUCAGUUAACAAAUGGCAAACCAGAAAAUCAGAGAACAGAAAGGCAGGAGCUUCUUUUUUUUCAUUUUUCCCUUAAAGAGUUUGGUCAACUAAAAUAGCAUCUAUAACAUUGUUACCCUUGCUGCAGAUGGUUACCUCAUCUUCAGCAUUGUUAAAAGAAUCAACAUAGAAUGACAAGUAUGCAGUGAUGAGGUGUUCUGCUGCAGUCAAAAAUCAAGAAGUAACAAAAGCAUAAGAAAACAUAUUUUGUUUGUAGCUCCGUCAAUAAACCAUCACCAAUUCAAGAGAUAUGCUCAAAUGUGUCAUUUGGUUUGUGCUAAACCAAGCAUAUCGUACCAUGCAACUGAAUCUCCAUGACUUUAAUACUAAAAAAAAUCAUCGAAUCAUUUGCAAUA